rnacentral:misc_RNA from 1 species
AAAAUGCGAUACGCAAUGCGAAUUGCAGAAUUCCGCGAAUCAUCAGAUCCUUGAACGCAACUGGCGCUGGGGGGAUAUCCUCCCAGCAUGCCUGUUUCAGUGUCUGAUAACCUCCAAGAACAUCAUAAUGUGUUUGACAAGGGGUGGGCCAACUCUGGCUCAUACAAUAUUCCCGAGUCUUACAUGAAAGAUGUAUGUGUGGGUCUUUGGAUCCAUCGAAUUGGUCACUGAGACUUCAGUGAUUUCGAUAGGAAAUCCAAUUACUCGUAUGCACAUAGAAAUAUUUAUAUCAUCUCUAAUAUCUGCAUCUGAAAUCAGGCAAGAACACCCGCUGAACUUAA